rnacentral:rRNA from 1 species
UACGAAGGGGGCUAGCGUUGUUCGGAAUUACUGGGCGUAAAGCGCACGUAGGCGGAUAUUUAAGUCAGGGGUGAAAUCCCAGAGCUCAACUCUGGAACUGCCUUUGAUACUGGGUAUCUCGAGUAUGGAAGAGGUGAGUGGAAUUCCGAGUGUAGAGGUGAAAUUCGUAGAUAUUCGCAAGAACACCAGUGGCGAAGGCGGCUCACUGGCCCGGUACUGACGCUGAGGUGCGAAAGCGUGGGGGGCAAACAGG